rnacentral:lncRNA from 1 species
GGGAAUUCAAAAAUCACAGGUAAAAUUAUGGACUAAUAACACAAUUUUUCAACACCUUAAUUUAACUAACAAAUAGUGUAUUAACGAAAGUCCACCAGGAAUUUUUGGUAGAAUGGUAACAGUUGAGUCAAUGCCAAGUUCUCCUCCGUGACUAACAGAAAGAGGAGAUUCCAACUCCGAAUCGUGACAGUUGAGUCAAUGCCAAGUUCUUGUGCUAAUGUAAAAGCUUUCAGUCAGAUGAUUGAUAGAGUUUAGAC